GUGGGGAAUUUUGGACAAUGGGGGCAACCCUGAUCCAGCCAUGCCGCGUGAGUGAAGAAGGCCUUCGGGUUGUAAAGCUCUUUCGGCGGGGAAGAAAUAGCGUGGGUUAAUACCCUGCGUUGAUGACGGUACCCGCAUAAGAAGCACCGGCUAACUACGUGCCAGCAGCCGCGGUAAUACGUAGGGUGCGAGCGUUAAUCGGAAUUACUGGGCGUAAAGCGUGCGCAGGCGGUUAUAUAAGUCAGAUGUGAAAUCCCCGGGCUCAACCUGGGAACUGCAUUUGAGACUGUAUGACUAGAGUGUGGCAGAGGGGGGUGGAAUUCCACGUGUAGCAGUGAAAUGCGUAGAGAUGUGGAGGAACACCGAUGGCGAAGGCAGCCCCCUGGGCCAAUACUGACGCUCAUGCACGAAAGCGUGGGGAGCAAACAGGAUUAGAUACCCCGGUAGUCC
rnacentral:rRNA from 1 species